rnacentral:rRNA from 1 species
UACGUAGGGCGCGAGCGUUGUCCGGAAUUACUGGGCGUAAAGCGCGUGUAGGCGGCCAACUAAGUCGGGCGUGAAAUCCCACGGCUCAACCGUGGAAGUGCACUCGAAACUGGAUGGCUAGAGCCUGGAGAGGAAGGUGGAAUGCUUGGUGUAGAGGUGAAAUUCGUAGAUAUCAAGCGGAACACCGGUGGCGAAGGCGGCCUUCUGGACAGUGACUGACGCUGAGACGCGAAAGCGUGGGGGAGCAAACAGGG